GACGAACGCUGGCGGCGUGCUUAACACAUGCAAGUCGAACGAUGAAGCCGGAGCUUGCUCUGGUGAAUUAGUGGCGAACGGGUGAGUAACACGUGAGUAACCUGCCCUUGACUCUGGGAUAACUGCGGGAAACUGUAGCUAAUACCGGAUACGACCCUCGGAGGCAUCUCCUGGGGGUAGAAAGAAUUUCGGUCAAGGAUGGACUCGCGGCCUAUCAGCUAGUUGGUGAGGUAAAGGCUCACCAAGGCGACGACGGGUAGCAGGCCUGAGAGGGUGACCGGCCACACUGGGACUGGGACACGGCCAAGACUCCUACGGGAGGCAGCAGUGGGGAAGAUUGCACAAUGGGCGCAAGCCUGAUGCAGCAACGCCGCGUGAGGGAUGACGGCCUUCGGGUUGUAAACCUCUUUUAGCAGGGAAGAAGCGAAAGUGACGGUACCUGCAGAAAAAGCACCGGCUAACUACGUGCCAGCCGCCGCCGUAA
rnacentral:rRNA from 1 species